UGUAAGCGUAUACCCAAGUUGUUGCAGUUAAAACGCUCGUAGUCGGAAUUUGGCAGUUCCGGAAGUGUGCACGUCGUGUGCGCACUUUGCGGGGACUGCUUUUGUGGUCUUGCGUAGGAUGAGGCACUUUCAUUAGUGAACGUCCUCACGCAACCACUCUUUACUGUGAGAAAAUCAGAGUGCUCAAAGCAGGCAUUUGCCGUGAAUGUAUUAGCAUGGAAUAAUAGAAUAGGACUCGGUUCUAUUUUGUUGGUUUGUUGGGACUGAGUAAUGAUUAAGAGGGACAGUUGGGGGCAUUUGUAUUCCGGCGCUAGAGGUGAAAUUCUUAGAUUGCCGGAAGACAAACUGCUGCGAAAGCGUCUGCCAAGGAUGUUUUCAUUGA
rnacentral:rRNA from 1 species